GAUGAACGCUGGCGGCGUGCCUAAUACAUGCAAGUCGAGCGAACAGACGAGGAGCUUGCUCCUUUGACGUUAGCGGCGGACGGGUGAGUAACACGUGGAUAACCUACCUAUAAGACUGGGAUAACUUCGGGAAACCGGAGCUAAUACCGGAUAACAUGUUGAACCGCAUGGUUCAACAGUGAAAGACGGUUUUGCUGUCACUUAUAGAUGGAUCCGCGCCGCAUUAGCUAGUUGGUAAGGUAACGGCUUACCAAGGCAACGAUGCGUAGCCGACCUGAGAGGGUGAUCGGCCACACUGGAACUGAGACACGGUCCAGACUCCUACGGGAGGCAGCAGUAGGGAAUCUUCUGCAAUGGGCGAAAGCCUGACGGAGCAACGCCGCGUGAGUGAAGAAGGUCUUCGGAUCGUAAAACUCUGCUAUUAGGGAAGAACAAAUGUGUAAGUAACUAUGCACGUCUUGACGGUACCUAAUCAGAAAGCCACGGCUAACUACGUG
rnacentral:rRNA from 1 species